AGAGUUUGAUCCUGGCUCAGGAUGAACGCUAGCGAUAGGCUUAACACAUGCAAGUCGAGGGGCAGCAUGGUCUUAGCUUGCUAAGACUGAUGGCGACCGGCGCACGGGUGCGUAACGCGUAUGCAACUUGCCUCACAGAGGGGGAUAACCCGUCGAAAGACGGACUAAUACCGCGUACACUCUAUGUUGGGCAUCCAAUGUAGAGGAAAUGAAAUUCGCUGUGAGAUAGGCAUGCGUCCCAUUAGCUAGUUGGUGAGGUAACGGCUCACCAAGGCGACGAUGGGUAGGGGAACUGAGAGGUUGAACCCCCACACUGGUACUGAGACACGGACCAGACUCCUACGGGAGGCAGCAGUGAGGAAUAUUGGUCAAUGGGCGAGAGCCUGAACCAGCCAAGUCGCGUGAAGGAUGACUGUCUUAUGGAUUGUAAACUUCUUUUAUACGGGAAUAACAAGAGUCACGUGUGGCUCCCUGCAUGUACCGUAUGAAUAAGCAUCGGCUAACUCCGUGCCAGCAGCCGCGGUAAUACGGAGGAUGCGAGCGUUAUCCGGAUUUAUUGGGUUUAAAGGGUGCGUAGGCGGCCUGUUAAGUCAGCGGUGAAAUCUAGGAGCUUAACUCCUAAAUUGCCAUUGAUACUGGCGGGCUUGAGUGUAGAUGAGGUAGGCGGAAUGCGUGGUGUAGCGGUGGAAUGCAUAGAUAUCACGCAGAACUCCGAUUGCGAAGGCAGCUUACUAAGGUACAACUGACGCUGAAGCACGAAAGCGUGGGUAUCAAACAGGAUUAGAUACCCUGGUAGUCCACGCAGUAAACGAUGAUAACUGGGCGUAUGCGAUAUACAGUAUGCUCCUAAGCGAAAGCGUUAAGUUAUCCACCUGGGGAGUACGCCGGCAACGGUGAAACUCAAAGGAAUUGACGGGGGCCCGCACAAGCGGAGGAACAUGUGGUUUAAUUCGAUGAUACGCGAGGAACCUUACCCGGGAUUGAAAUGUAGA
rnacentral:rRNA from 1 species